GGGAAAUAGGGCAGUGUCUUCAGUCUCUGGUCUUCUGUCGCUCCUGAUUUCUCCAGAGUUCUGACAGCAGUGCUGCACUCACACCCACAGGUUGUUUCAGUACCUGCGUAGGUUUUGUGUGAACUCCUUUAAACAGGUGCCUCCCCCUCUCCCCACAUCAGUCUUGGAAGACGGCUUGGGCUCCGGGCUGGAGGUUGUAGAACGAGCAGAGGAACCCAGUAACUGAUGAUACAGUGGUGGCAGAGAUGCAAUCGUGUGGUUGCCCCCAUCUCAGAUCAUCCAGGCUCACUUGAAGGGAGCUUACUGUCCCCUCUGUUGCCCAUUUUUGUUCUUGUGUUGACCAGACCUUUGAAGAAUGUUACCUGGUUCACUAGGAGAGCGCUUGGUCCAGAGGACCGAGCCAGGUGUAUAGAGCAGACAGGGAUCUAUGAGAGAGGAUUUUAAUCCCCAAAGGAGCCUUUGCUCCAUUGACGUCAGACAUGCAUGCGGAUGACUUCAGCGCAGGGUGGUUGUGCCGAGGGCCGUGAGACUGACAUAAACCAACUACUCUGAGAGUCUGGGUUGGGGGAGAACUCUUCUAGCAAGGUGAUUAUGAAGAGCUCUGUGAAGGAGUGGGCUUGAUCUGAGCUUUCAAAGAUGCUCUGCAUUUUAGUAGGUGGUGACUGAAGGUUGCCUGGGAGACACCCUUCCAAGUACAGGAAACGGCACAAGCGAAUGAGUAGAAGGCUGAGCCAGUGAGACACAACAUAUUUCACUCAACGACCGGAUGUGUGAGAGAACUGCUUAUUUUUUAAAUGAGGUCCUUGCCUUUCCAGGACAUUGACGUAAGGCAGAACAUGCUUCCUGUACUUCUCUAAGCAGCCCGAGUGGACCAAGACAAGGGCCGUGUACGGCGGGCGCCACUGAGUGUGAGACCUGCGGGUUCCUCCUCGUGUCUGGGGAUUGGCAGUUCUCUUCCCCACUUCACAGACGAGGAAGCUGAAACCCAGAGAGGACACAUCACCUGCCCAAGCGUCACAAUAAAACUUUUGAGACCAAGCUUCUCCCAGACACUAAAGAAAGAGUUGUAAAUCGUCCUGGCCACGGUGGGUAUACAGCAUCUCAGAAGCUUCUGCUUCCCGCAACCCGACUCUGCUUGAGGCAUUUUGCCAUGUGCUGGAGAAACAACAAUGAAAAGAUAACCUCAUCGCGAAACAAAGACAAGCAAAUAAAGUAAUUUCAAAUUAUGGGAACUAUAGCAAAGGAAACGACCAGGGUACUGACGCUGAGAAUAAUCUCUUAGGCACUGUUGUGAUGGAGAUCAUUUUGAGACAUUUCACCGAUGUGGUUAAACUUGUAGUUCAUAUAUUCCCGAGCUGAAUAAGAUACCACUGGAAGUAUCACACCUUCUCUAGAAAGUCGUCUGGAAGCUUCUGAUAGAGCUGUGUGUUCUCCACCUGAAUGCUCGUCCUUCAAAUGCCUGAGUGAGUCCUGGGCUUGGCUCUGACACUGCUGGGAGAGCUCAGAGACGUGGCAGUUCCUGCUGCCCUUCGGCUGCAUCGCCGACGUGUGACGGCCAGGCUUCUACAGUGACGUCUUACCAUUUUAGCCCUGCAACAUAGGGUGAUCUUUUUGAAGAUUUUUUAAAGUGACAAUUAAGAUCCAAAUUUAAGUGAAAUCCAACUGUGAACAAUAGUACCAAUGUCAACCAAGGCCAGAUGGGUCAACGCAUGCUUUUCACGCUUGGCAGUGGCCCAUCCUGCCUGGCAGCUGGCGGGGCGCCUACCACAGCAUGGCUUGCCAAGCAGCGCUGUCUCCAAACCCGGGCUCCGAACCUGCGAACCCCUGGCCGCUGAGAAGCGGAACGUGCGCACUUAACAGCUGCGCCACCGGCCGGCCCCUGGACUCUUCUGAUGACUUCUGCCUGCCUUUCUGAAAAUGCCCGUCCUGCCUUCCCCCGACUUUCCAGCCCCAGGCCCCCCAACACUCCCUGCCCCCAGAGCAGAUCCCACCCCUCCGACCUGACUUCUCGGAUACCUGAAACUGCCCAGAGACCCAUUAUUUUUCCGGGACGCUCCCAGGAAGAUAAAUUUGUCCGUUCUCCUUGAUGCGGAUGAAUUUCUCGUCUUCUUUCCCAGCGGGUUUUGGUUGAGAGACGUGAGAGAAGAGGGAAGCCCUAGGGCCCGGGCCCAGUGACGGCGCGCUGCAGACCUGGACAGGAGAAGGGGUUCAGAAAGGCGGGAUCAGCGUAGACUUUCGUUGCAUCAGGCCACACCUUCUGUCUGCGCUCACGCGUGUCUGCCCCUUAAGGACUCUGUCCUUCCCCUCCCGUCAGCCCUCAGGAGAAAGCCCCCGGCCCUGGCUUCAAACCCCUAUUAACUGCUGUUGGUCAGCACAGCACAAAGCCACCUUUGUGAGAGAGGUUAGGUUAGCUUCUCUUUACUGCUCUAGAAAUCUGGCUGCAGACAGAACUAGCGACCUGGGGCCGGUCCCUGGCACAGUCUCCGGGCGGUGUCCUAACUGGAACGCUGAACGAGUCCCCAGUGCCGGAGCCUUGCGGUGGCUGAAAAAUGACGCUUGCAUUCCCGUCAUCAACCAGAUGGCUCAUGUCGAGUGUCCUGAUUGUUUUGGGUAUUCUUUGUGUGCAACUUUGAGUCCCUGUCUCGUAUUUGGGUCAGAGCAACGGGAAGGACACAUGACUUGCUUUAAAAUUAGCCUCAAACUCAUUGCAUAACCGGUCUCGUUUUCACUAAAUGGAAUGGUUUCUUGAGAGGACAGCAUGGCAUUUGUAGUUAAGUCUGUCUGGUUGAGUUACCUUGGAGAACAUCGUUUCCAUCCACCAGGACUCAGUGUUUCCACCUGUGAAAUGGGGUAGCUUUUGUUUGAAAGAAAAUAAAUGAAGGGUAACAACAUAAAAGUAACCACCUCAUCCAGACCCCCUUCCCCCAGCCACACCACACACACACUCACACUCACACACUCACACACACACACACACACAGUUUUGGGGCUUGUCAGCAGAUGGACAACAAUCUCUUCUAGUCCCCAAAAGACAGGGCAAACAUAGAGCGGAAAGAAAUGCUUACUCCCUAAAUCACGCCAUCGUCAGAGCCCAGCGGCAUGUUCUGAUGGCUUAGUGAGCUCAGAGAAUAUAUUUUAAGUCUUAAGAAAACAAACUUUUCUGUCUGUUUUCUCCUGGGACCGGGACAUAGUCUUCAUACAAAUUCAAAAUCAACAAAAAGAAACUAACAAAAAACCCUCCUGACUGCUGUCCUUCUCCAAGAACAAAUGGUUUCUCCAGAUUUCUGAUUCAUCUUGGCAAUGUGUGCGAAUAAACCCGAAUGACCCCGAGGAUAAAUAGAUGCAAAGAACUAGGCGUGAUUGUGUAUGCCUAGAAUGUUUCUUUGUAACAGCAAACAGUGUUCCCAUGAUCGGUUGAGUUAGAAGAAUGGUCUGUUGUAAUUUAUAUCUCACUUCUGAGGUGGUGGUAAAUUGCCGAGGGUUAGAGCAGAGAGUGCUAAAAGAUGUGGGCCUCUUUUAAGUAGGGGGACAAAGAGGAGGUGACAUUCAGCUAGAAGCCACCAAGCACAGGGUAAAUCCAUCUUACAGCCGGCUGUGUCACCAGGCGAGGAGGCUUCCGGGUGCUCUAAGAUCUUUGCAGCAGACGGACCUGGGUUCAGAUCCCAGCUUCCUGGCCACGUGGCCUCGGGCCAGCUUCCUGCCUUUUAGAACCUCUCUCCGCUCCUCUGUAAAGUGAGGGUGAGAACAGUGCCUUGUGAGGCUUAAGUGAGAUGAUGCUUGUAGAGAGGGCUCAGCAGAGUGCCUGGUACACAAUCAGCCCUGACAAAUGCUGGACAUUGUGGGAAAUUGUACUUAGCCCUCAUCUCCUAGGGCUGCCAUGACGAAUUACCGCAAAUUUGGUAACUUAACACAACAGAAAUUUAUUCUCUUGCAGCUCUAGGGACCAGGAGUCUGAAAGCAAGGUGUUGGCAGCUCGGUGCUCCCCUGAGGGCUCUGGGGAGUAUCCUUCCCCACCUCUAGCAGCUUCCAGCGGCUGUGGGCAUUCCUUGGCUUGGGGCUGCAUGCAUCGCUCCAGUCUCUGCCUCCAAGUUCAUGCAGCCUUCUCCCCUUCUCCCUCUGUCUCUCUUCUAUUUGUCUCUUAGAAGGACACAUUAUUGUAUUUAGGGCCUACCUAGAUAAUCCAGAAUGAUCUUAUCUCGAGACCCCUAAUUUAACACAUCUGCAAAAAUAAGGUCACAUUCACGGGUUCUAGGGACUAGGAUGUGGGUAUAUCUGUUCGGGGACCACUAUUCAAUCCACUACAGUAAUAUUUAUAUGGUUAUUUAGCAAGAAGUGCAGUACUGGCCAUCACCCUGGGUGGGCGGGGUCCUGGGCCCAUCACUUUAGAAGGCCCUCUGUCACAUGGCACGGGCUCAGUGUAACCCCCAAUGCUGAACAUCUGCAGGUGACUGACACCCUCCAGGCCCCAAGGUAUCCCCUACAUCUUUUGCCCCGUGUUCUCCAAGCAGAAGGUAACCACGCCCAAAGCUGCAAAGGUUUGUAGAGUGUGCCACUGCUGACCUCAGAUCUGACGCUGCCUCGGAGAGCGAGGAAGAUGCUGGUGGUAGAAGCUCCUGGGAGAGAGGGAAGAUGACGUAGCUGUGCCAUCCUCCUCUCCAAGUGGCCCGCCUGCAACAGUCUCUGGUUUCUCUUCAUGUUCCAACGGAUGGUUCUGGAAUUAUUCGUGAAUUAGCACAAUAUCCACAACAGUUCACGGUACACUUAAAUGCAGAUGUAUGUAGGUGCACCAAUAAUAUGUGUGAAGCAUGAUAUCAACUCUUUACAACACUAUAUGGAUCUGUAUAUUUUUAAAUAUUGUUUUAAGAGAUUUUGAAAAUCAUGAAAUAAAUGAUGGUGAUUUAUAGGAUGAAAUUAAAACAUUUGUAACAGUGUCUGUGAUCAUGAAUAUAUCAGAUGCAACCCAAUUACAAUGUUGGUAUAUAAAACUCAUGAUCCAUUUCCAAAUCAAAGUAUUGCUUUAAGAAUUUUAUUGACGAUUUCAAUUGCUGCUGCCUCUGCAGAGCAAAAUUUCU
ensembl:lncRNA